ensembl:lncRNA MIR663AHG MIR663A host gene
GAUUCCCUGAGCCUUGACAAAGCAGGAGCCCUCCGUGGCGGUGCGUCGGUGUCGAGGCUCCAGUCUGACUAAUCCAGGGGGUCGACAAAACAGAUUCGGGACACUAUGCUACACGGAGGGCCUACCAGGAUGCAGAAACAGCAGACGGAGUCCAGGGAAAGCAGUGCGGCAUCCCAGCCUCAGGCCUGCCCGUACGGUGUUCGGAAAUACUAGGCUUUAGAAUUUCACCAUAUGAAUUUUGGGAGAGAGGAGCACAGUUCAGCCCAUAACUAACACACGUGAUGAAGAAGACAUGCCAACAGAGGGUUAAUUCCAGAUAAAAUGAAAUGUUCCAAACAGUACGUUUGGUUAUUUGAUUCAUCUGUGGGGGAAGGAAAGAUAAUUUUCCAAAGGACAUUCCUCCUAAAUUCUGUCUUAAAGUUGUUUACGGAAUGAAGUUGAUAAUAGUGAGACCUUGUUGGUACAAGACUAUGUAACAUAACCUGCGCUUCUCAACAAAGAAUUGCUUUUCUGACUUCUGCACUCAAUAGCAAGACAAAUCUCUCCUCUGCCUUCUCCUUAUCAGACUACUCAACAUGAAGGCAAUAAGAAUGAAGACCUCUAUGUAUAAUAAUUGACUUCCACUUAAUAAAUAAGGUUACUUGGUACACUGGUCGACAAAACCUUGAAAUGUUGAUGUUUAAGGGCUGUUGAUUGCUGGCAGCAAAGAAGUCCAACUGUGCUGGUACCCGAGAUAGCGUCUCCACAUUUUCUUCCAGGAUCAUCACCUUUGUUCUAAAUAGCUCCCACAUAGUGUGAACAGAAGUCAUAUGUUUUAGAUUUUCUGCCUUGGCACCCAGGAAACCAGUAUGAUUGAGUAAACAUAUUAAACUUCCUCUGCAUUUCCAGCCUGAACAGAUGUUGAGUACAAGCUGAUCCACCUACGUUCAACCUGAGAGAGUCCACAUCCACAGACUGUUUCAUUUCCCUUUUUCAAUUUACAUAGAAGCAUAGAUUCUUGCUGGCAUAUACAAAUGCGCCAUUUAAGGCAAUCAAAAAUGGUUCCACAUCUCAUCUGAUUUCCACAAUUGUUGCUGUAACGAUGGACUACUGAGGAGAGAGACAAUUUCUCUGGCACAUCUUCCCACAUUUUAGCAACAUGUUCAUGGAGAGCCAAUAUUCAGUAAUUACAGCCCAAUUCCUCACAAUUUCACAAUUCGCUAACAAUAUGCAUUUUCACAAUGUAAAGCUGAUUUUCCUUUAACCAAAUCAAACAUGAAAAGAUAGCUGCAUGCAAUGGGCAAUCUAGAUCAUUAGAAGAUUGAUGUAAAAUUAGAGGACACUGAGACUGGAAUAGAUUGCAAACUUCAGGGAGCUCAGAAAACUUGUAAACUCUACAUUUUGAGGAAAUAUGUUGUCGAUGCUUUUGCAACUCUAUGCAGUAACUUAACAAAUAAAGCCUUAAAGUAAC